UAACCUCACACAGAAUUUCAAACAUCCUUAUUAAUGCAUAGUCCUUUUUUAAAUGAUUUCAUACGAAGAGAGCACAGACGAUGUCAUGUGGAAUGAAGAAAGCCUUUCAAGUAAAGAAGGUUUAGAUAUGCUGCAAAACAAAGUCAAUUGCAGUUUGGAAGGACGACUGACUAAGACGCUCCAAAAAAAUUGUUGUUAUUACAAUGCCAUAAAAUGUGGACACAUCGAAACCUACAAAUGGUUGGUAAACUUAAAAUUGACAAUGAUGUUCGAUUAUACUCACUAUACAAUGAAAAGGAUUUCGUUUUGCUAUAUUUAUGUUCGAAUGCACUUAAACAUACAGUUAAUGCUCAAAUGUACGCGCUAGUUUAUGGAUUUCCCAAAUUCUAUGUGAACAACGAAGACAAUAAUAAACAUACAACUGUUAUGGUACAUGUUACUAGCUUGGUGAAAUUAGACAAUCUAUCAACAGCUCAGAAAAUGGAAAGCCAUUUAUGUAAAUUUAGAAAUUAAUUCACCAAUAAAUUUUGCAUAUCUGCA